rfam:Youngiibacter fragilis 232.1 contig_194, whole genome shotgun sequence.
UCCAUUGCGAGGUGGAAUCUGAAGGAAGCCGGAUGUCAGGGCGAGGAGUUCUGGCGGGCAAAUUUUCGGGCCGACGAACAGAAAUCUUAUAUAAGGCC